UCGGGUAUGGUGUAGCGGUAACAUCGUUGACUCUCACUUCUAACACAAGUGUCUGAUCACUCAACAUCCCCGGGUUCGACUCCCGGUAUCCGAA
rnacentral:tRNA from 1 species